AACGAACGCUGGCGGCGUGGAUAAGACAUGCAAGUCGAACGAGAGAAUUGCUAGCUUGCUAAUAAUUCUCUAGUGGCGCACGGGUGAGUAACACGUGAGUAACCUGCCCCCGAGAGCGGGAUAGCCCUGGGAAACUGGGAUUAAUACCGCAUAGUAUCGAAAGAUUAAAGCAGCAAUGCGCUUGGGGAUGGGCUCGCGGCCUAUUAGUUAGUUGGUGAGGUAACGGCUCACCAAGGCGAUGACGGGUAGCCGGUCUGAGAGGAUGUCCGGCCACACUGGAACUGAGACACGGUCCAGACACCUACGGGUGGCAGCAGUCGAGAAUCAUUCACAAUGGGGGAAACCCUGAUGGUGUGACGCCGCGUGGGGGAAUGAAGGUCUUCGGAUUGUAAACCCCUGUCAUGUGGGAGCAAAUUAAAAAGAUAGUACCACAAGAGGAAGAGACGGCUAACUCUGUGCCAGCAGCCGCGGUAAUACAGAGGUCUCAAGCGCUGUUCGGAAUCACUGGGCGUAAAGCGUGCGUAGGCUGUUUCGUAAGUCGUGUGUGAAAGGCGCGGGCUCAACCCGCGGACGGCACAUGAUACUGCGAGACUAGAGUAAUGGAGGGGGAACCGGAAUUCUCGGUGUAGCAGUGAAAUGCGUAGAUAUCGAGAGGAACACUCGUGGCGAAGGCGGGUUCCUGGACAUUAACUGACGCUGAGGCACGAAGGCCAGGGGAGCGAAAGGGAUUAGAUACCCCUGUAGUCCUGGCAGUAAACGGUGCACGCUUGGUGUGCGGGGAAUCGACCCCCUGCGUGCCGGAGCUAACGCGUUAAGCGUGCCGCCUGGGGAGUACGGUCGCAAGAUUAAAACUCAAAGAAAUUGACGGGGACCCGCACAAGCGGUGGAGUAUGUGGCUUAAUUCGAUGCAACGCGAAGAACCUUACCUGGGCUUGACAUGUAAUGAACAACAUGUGAAAGCAUGCGACUCUUCGGAGGCGUUACACAGGUGCUGCAUGGCCGUCGUCAGCUCGUGUCGUGAGAUGUUUGGUUAAGUCCAGCAACGAGCGCAACCCCUGUUGCCAGUUACCAGCACGUGAAGGUGGGGACUCUGGCGAGACUGCCCAGAUCAACUGGGAGGAAGGUGGGGACGACGUCAGGUCAGUAUGGCCCUUAUGCCCAGGGCUGCACACGUACUACAAUGCCCAGUACAGAGGGGGCCGAAGCCGCGAGGCGGAGGAAAUCCUGAAAACUGGGCCCAGUUCGGACUGGAGUCUGCAACCCGACCCCACGAAGCUGGAUUCGCUAGUAAUCGCGCAUCAGCCACGGCGCGGUGAAUACGUUCCCGGGCUU
rnacentral:rRNA from 1 species